rnacentral:lncRNA from 1 species
CGGCGAAUUCUUACAUUCGUUCUGAACUUCGACAUGGCACCACUGCACUAUUGGACUACGGCAAGCUGACGUCGUCUGGUGGAGCUUCCUACGGGAACUACUGCUGCUUACCUGGUACCACAACGUUGGAUGAAUGCACAAAAAGCCCGCAACGAGCAUUUAUAAAGAAUAAAAUAAACAUUUCCUCAUUUCACAA